CCCCGAUCGCCUAAAAAUUUUUCCGGCCAUCAAAUAUGACAUAAGGAACCAUAGUAACCACCCCGCCAUGAUCGUUCCUCAAUUUUUGCAUUUUUUGGCCAAACAACUAGAAUUACGCGCGAUUCCCAUAUUUUUGGGUGUUAUAGCCCACGCCUUCCAAGUGGUCCCGGGACCUCCUGACCCCUAUCGCCUAAAAAUUUUCCGGACUAUCAAAUAAGACCUAAGGAACCAUAGUAUCCGCCCCGCCAUGAUCGUUCCUCAUUUUUAGCGUUUUUCGGCCAAACAACUAGAAUUCCGCGCGAUUCCCAUAUUUUUGUGUGUUAUAGCCUACACCUUACUAAUGGUCCCGGGACCUCCGGACCCCUAUCGCCUAAUAUUUUUCCGGACUAUCAAAUAAGACCAAAGGAACCAUAGUCACCGCCCUGCCAAGAUCUUUCCACAUUGUUUGCAUGUUGCUGAAAAAGACCUAGAAUUUCGCUUGAUUCCCAUAUUUUCGUGUGCUAUACCCACGCAUUCCGAGUGGUCCCAAGAGCCGCGGACCCCGAUCGCCUAAAAUUUU
rnacentral:lncRNA from 1 species